GCGAUCUUAAAUACUGGAAAAAGUUGAAGAACUAGGAUCGCUAACGAAUGGGGAUACUCAAACCACGGGUCACCCUCAUUGUCACUUAUGGAUGAUGACGUGCGUACCUAAUGGAUUUUCCGCACUUGCAUGGAGGCUACUAUAUAAUCGUCUGAACAGCCCGCCUUCUGCAUCUGCAAUCAUGAAGCUUUUGUGUUUGGUUAUAUUCGCUUUACUGGGAAUCGCGAGCCCCUCAAAUGGAUUGCCCAAACUUAGAACGACGCCGCUGCCAGAUAUUAAGUAUCCUCCCGCCAAUUAUGGAAAAUAAAAUUAAAACAAAAAAUUGAUGAUCGUUUUAAUAAUAGAAUGACUAAUAAAAUGUGUUCUAUUUAAGCAGAAUA